rnacentral:rRNA from 1 species
AUUGAACGCUGGCGGCAGGCCUAACACAUGCAAGUCGAGCGGAUGAAGGGAGCUUGCUCCUGGAUUCAGCGGCGGACGGGUGAGUAAUGCCUAGGAAUCUGCCUGGUAGUGGGGGAUAACGUCCGGAAACGGGCGCUAAUACCGCAUACGUCCUGAGGGAGAAAGUGGGGGAUCUUCGGACCUCACGCUAUCAGAUGAGCCUAGGUCGGAUUAGCUAGUUGGUGGGGUAAAGGCCUACCAAGGCGACGAUCCGUAACUGGUCUGAGAGGAUGAUCAGUCACCCUGGAACUGGGACACGGUCCAGACUCCUACGGGAGGCAGCAGUGGGGAAUAUUGGACAGUGGGCGAAAGCCUGAUCCAGCCAUGCCGCGUGUGUGAAGAAGGUCUUCGGAUUGUAAAGCACUUUAAGUUGGGGGGAAGGGCAGUAAGUUAAUACCUUGCUGUUUUGACGUUACCAACAGAAUAAGCACCGGCUAACUUCGUG